CCCCAGACUCCUACGGGAGGCAGCAGUGGGGAAUAUUGCACAAUGGGGGAAACCCUGAUGCAGCAACGCCGCGUGAGUGAGGAAGUAUUUCGGUAUGUAAAGCUCUAUCAGCAGGGAAUAGAAAAGAAGGUACCUGAAAAAGAAGCCCCGGCUAACUACGUGCCAGCAGCCGCGGUAAUACGUAGGGGGCAAGCGUUAUCCGGAUUUACUGGGUGUAAAGGGAGCGUAGACGGAAAGGCAAGUCAGAAGUGAAAGCCCAAGGCUCAACCAUGGGACUGCUUUUGAAACUGUAUGGCUGGAGUGCUGGAGAGGCAAGCGGAAUUCCUAGUGUAGCGGUGAAAUGCGUAGAUAUUAGGAAGAACACCAGUGGCGAAGGCGGCUUGCUGGACAGUAACUGACGUUGAGGCUCGAAAGCGUGGGGAGCAAACAGGAUUAGAUACCCUCGUAA
rnacentral:rRNA from 1 species